rnacentral:rRNA from 1 species
AGGGAGCUAGCGUUGCUCGGAAUUACUGGGCGUAAAGGGAGCGUAGGCUGACAUUUAAGUCAGAGGUGAAAUCCCGGAGCUUAACUUCGGAACUGCCUUUGAUACUGGGUGUCUUGAGUGUGAAACAGGUAUGUGGAACUCCGAGUGUAGAGGUGAAAUUCGUAGAUGUUCGGAAGAACACCAGUGGCGAAAGGCGACAUACUGGCUCAUUACUGACGCUGAGACUCGAAAGCUUGGGGAGCAAACUGGAUUAGAUACCCUGGUAGUCGACGCCGUAAACCGAUGAUUGCUAGCUUGUCG